AUGGCAUCGGCUCGCUCCGUGAUGCUCCACGUGCUGCUGCUCGCGCUGGCCCUCGCCGCGGCGCCGGCCGUCCUCUCGGACCCGCCGCCGCUCCAGGACUUCUGCGUGGCCGACCUCAAGGCCGCCACGGCGGUCGACGGGUUCCCUUGCAAGGCGCCGUCGACGGUGGAGGACGACGACUUCUUCUCCGACGCCAUGGUCGCCGCGCCCAGAACCGACACCAACCCCUUCGGCGUCAACUCCACGCGCGCCACCGUGUCGGUCUUCCCGGGCCUCAACACGCUGGGCCUCUCCAUCACGCGCACCGACCUCGCCGUGGGCGGCCUCAACCCGCCGCACUCGCACCCUCGCGGCUCCGAGCUCGUGCUGGUGCUCAAGGGCGAGGUCAUGGUCGGCUUCACCUCGGCGACCAACCGGCUCUUCACCAAGGUGGUGAAGGAGAACGAGCUCUACGUCGUGCCCCGCGGCCUGCAGCACUACCAGCUCAACGUUGGCACCGGCGACGCCGUGUUCAUGGCCAUGUUCGACGCCCAGUCGCCGGGCCUGGUCACGCCCACGCUCGCGCUCUUCGCGACCGAGCCGGCCAUGCCCAUGGAGGUGCUCACCAAGACCUUCCUCAUGGGCGAAGAUGAUGUCACCGCCAUGAAAUCCAAAUUCGCCGGCUUCUGA
rnacentral:rRNA from 1 species